CUCGAUUCUUCUACUCACUGGGUAAGAAGACAUUUAUUUCCCCACAGCUGGGAUCCAUUGGUAUGAACACCCAGGCUGCUGGAAGCUUUGCUAACCAAGCACUUAAGGCAAGCCUGGGCUCCUCGGUGAUGCCGAAGGUGAAGGCCAUAACCACGGUUAAAAUCACACCAACACCAACUGGUAACAGACUUCAAGCAAGCUACAGACAGCCGAGGACUCCUCAUGUGAGCAGCAACAUACUGAAAUGCAGCCACAAGGACAAGCAACCAAAGGCCGUGGAACGUCUGCGUGCAUGUGAGGAGGGGACACUUCACCAAGGGCACAUGGUGAGCACACUUCCUUCAAGUCUAGCUUCCAGUGUUCCACUGGCCCUGUGAAUGGUAAGAUGAAAACCAUUCUAAACAAGCCCAUUUCCACAAGUGUCCGUAGGGUGACUGCAGUAUUUUGGGGGGCCAGCCCCACAGUGCUGGAUUUCAGAGUGGCUCAGAAGUCUCUGCCCUGAGGACGUGAUUUAUGGCUGCCUGCCCAGAGGAAGGAUAGUGACCAAGAGAGACUGCAGGGGGUGCACACUGCCGGUGGACCUCCCAAAGAGGCCCUGUGUACCUGGACAGCACCCUGUCCUCUUGUCUACUAAGUAAGUAGAAUAUAAACAUAGCACCAGGCCAUGGUGGAUAGUCCUUGGGUCAGAGCACUGAGCUGCUGCUUAACUUUACUGUAAAAGAGCAACUCUGGGGAGGGGCUUGGCAUUCUCCAUUAAGCAGGCUAGAUAGUUCUGGAGACACGACACAUUUGACCACUAGGUCAUGGGUGAGUGGCUGGCCGGUUCAGCUUCUUCUUCCCAUCGACCUUCAGAGGCCCUGGGUGUUCCUGGCUGGUUCACACAAUUGCCUGCUUGAUGUCUCUGAAGGCUCCUCAAACUCCAGUGUGCAGACCUGCUGUCCUGAGACUCUUCCCUUCCGCCAGGCUCCCUCCAGUCACCUUCCCCCUUUAAACUCACAGCAGCACUCUUCCUUCCUCUAGCUACUCAGACAAAAACCCACACCGGCACCCUUGUUCUUCCCUCUCACUGACCUCAGAUCCAAUCCAAGAGAAAUGCAGUUGUCUCUUAUUUCAAAGCACAUACAGAGCCCAGUGAGCAUCUGCAGCGGGCCCACGCUUGCCUGGACCAGCAUGACCUCUCGCCCAUUACUGCCAACAACCUCCGCAGGGCUUUCCUGGCUCUUCCUCGCUUGCCCAUGAAGAAUUCCAAACAUAGCUCCAGAGCAGUCCCUCGACACUGAAGGCGUGCCACUCUGGCUGGAAUCCCCAGCAGCUCCCAUGUAAGAGCAUCUACAAUGGCCCACAAAGCCCACUGACAUCCUGGUGCUGUCCCAACAUCUCUGCUCCAGGCCAUGAGGGUUCUGGCUAUUAGGCUCUGCAGUGCUCUCUGCUUCAGCCUGGACAAGGUGCUGUUCAAGGAGCCCUGCACCUACCCUUGGAGCUACUCAUCACACGACAGCCUGAACGCGGGGCCCUCAGGAGCCUCCGGCCUGCUCUGUGGUGUCCUUCUUCGCAUUUUUGUUCCGCACUAAGUAGCUCAUUACUUCUUGUUUGUUGACCAGCUGUUGGAAUGUAUGUUGCAGUCCGACAGAGGUCUGUGUUUUCUGUUCACAGAUGGGUCCAGCACAAGAGUGCCCUGUCUGUGGCAGACAGUAAGUACCUGUGACCGAAGGGCCGUCCAGACUUUCAUAUUCCUGGCAACAACCAACCCAGGAUCUGAAACAGCACCCUGAUUAAAGUGACAAUUUCCCCAAGACACUAAAGCAUUAAACUAAGUGACAAGUUCAUUACCUCCUCUCCAUGACAUGUAGGUGUUAUAAAAAAAAACUGUAGGACUGAUGUGAGAUCCAUGAGGAAGGAAGGAGGGACAUCAUACACUGUACGACAGUCGACCCAGGGCUGCCUGAGCCAGCCUCUCUCCACUGCGGGGUGUGCUCAAGUGCCCUCCCUCUUAGCGCAUAGGGAAGGCUGGGGAGAAAAGGGGUUCAAUGCCAGGAUCCACGAUGAGGACAAAGUGGCCCUGAGCAUGCAGAUCUGUUCCUUGGCUUUUACCCACCUUGGUGAUGGGGGCAAGGAAUGUGCUUUAGGGGCUACCUUAAUCUAAGUCUUAAAUACAGUAUUAGGAGACAAUGCAAGUUUUACUGAGAAAAAGUGAAUUUUUAAUUAUCUUGUGAAUCUACUUAGAAAAACACACACAAGCAAUGUUCACAACUAUAAAUUUAAACCUUUUUUGCACUAAAAAAAAAAAAAAACACAAAACAACAAACACAAAACCACAGGCAUGAACUGUAAACCUGUAUUAAUAUCAACUAGUCUUAAGGUUAACUCUUAGCAGUAAUUCAGUAUUUUCCUCCUUGGCAAUUGUAAUGUUUUAGCACCAAAUGAUCUCCCACAGAGGUACUAGUAACAACACUGGCUGCCAGUGUAAGGAGAUGUUUCCACACACACUCCUUGCACACACACCUUCCACUCACACCAACAAGGAGACAUGUGCAGAUGGUGUCACACGCUGACUCCAGGGCAAUGGAAACAAGACAGAGGCACGGGGGUCACACGACUUUAAUGUAGUGCAUUUGUAGAAAAGGCCAGCCUCCGCUCCCAGGCGUGCGCUUGUCCUCAGACUUUAAUGUCAUGAUUUAGAAGAUGCAGACGUUAUUGCCUAAAUAUUAUUCUAUACAUUUCCAUCAGUGUUCAGGAAAACACUUUAAAUUGCUACUUAAUUUACACCAUAGUGACUGGGUUACAGCUUUAGCUCAUUGGCAAUUUUGGAAGCAAUAUUUUUGAAAGCUAUGGAUGUCCCUGAUAUCCGCUUGAACCGGACCCCAUUCAGAGACAGUCUUGGCAGCUUACACACCUCCAUCUCCCACUGCACCAUGUUCUCUGCGUGCCCGUCGCCCUGGACGCAGAAGAGCAGGAAGCGCUCCCUCUGCUCAUAGUCGCAGU